GGAAGGCCAUGGCUCCAUGUUAGAGCAUCUACUUUGCAUGCAGAAGGUCCCAGGUUCAAUCCUUGGUGUCUCUA